rnacentral:tRNA from 1 species
GGAUUGUGGCCCAGUGGUAGAGUGCUCGCCUACAAUGCAUGGGGCACUGAGUUCGAUCCUCAGCACCA